rnacentral:rRNA from 1 species
UACAGAGGGUGCAAGCGUUGUUCGGAAUUACUGGGCGUAAAGGGCUCGUAGGCGGCCAACUAAGUCAGACGUGAAAUCCCCAGGCUCAACCUGGGAACUGCGUCUGAUACUGGAUGGCUUGAAUCCGGGAGAGGGAUGCAGAAUUCCAGGUGUAGCGGUGAAAUGCGUAGAUAUCUGGAGGAAUACCGGUGGCGAAGGCGGCAUCCUGGACCGGCAUUGACGCUGAGGAGCGAAAGCUAGGGGAGCAAACGGG